rnacentral:miRNA from 1 species
CAGUCGGUUACGUGAGUAGUCU